rnacentral:misc_RNA from 1 species
AGCUGUCAAAAUAUUGACGUAACAAAUUUGUGGUCCAUUUUCAUUUGCCCCAGUCGUUUAACAAUUUUUAUAUUUGUUGUAAUUCUGCAAAAAUUCCAAAAAAUAGAAAACACAAAUGAAUAUCAUGAAAUAAUAAAAUUCAAAGUUGAUAAAUAAAUUGUGCGGCACGUCGUUUUAAAGUGUGGAUGCGUGUUUAGCCUGCAAUUCUUCGUAUAACCAAAAGGGGCGGGAGUGUCCUCCAUCAUACAGUUAUCCAGAAGAAGUGUGAAGAAACAAUAUUAAUUGGUAUUUUUAAUACAUAUGCCAACGGUUGCAGUGUUCAAAGUACAUUUAUUUUUAAAGUUGCAAAUUAUAUUCUUAUUGGAUUUUUCAAGGUAUUAUAUGAAUUGAAUAAUACAACAAGUUACCUUGAAAUCUAAUAUCAUAAGCUGACCUUCAAGGAGUUUUCUGUGCUGUACUGUGAACUGUGGUUUUGUCAGACAAACCUUAAAACGCAGUUAGCUUUUGAGUUUUUUGAAGCUCCGAAGGUACUGUUGUUCCGGCUAAAGAAAUGUGCGAUUCAGAUGCCAGUAAAGUACAAAAGUGGAUAUGUGACUAUUGCACCUAUGAAAAUUUUCCCUCGUCACUGAAAUGCACCAUGUGCAAGGGUGCGAAACCACUUUUGAAUGAGGACAUCUUUCGAUUGAGUCCACCGCAAACUGCAUUCGAUGGUGAUGAGGAGCGUGGUGCCACAGCUGAUGUUGUUGAAGCUUCGAGCCUUAAUGCUUGCUUUUCACAAUCCCGACAAGAUGUACCCGCUACAACACCCGCCUCAGCAUCUCCAUCUGCUUGCGCUAAAUGGGCCUGCAAGAUGUGCACCUAUUUAAAUUGGCCACGCAGUUUACGUUGUGUACAAUGCUGCACUAAGCGAGGAACUGCUGUUACUGAUAUUAACGUUGAUCUACAUAUUUGCAAUGCAGAGGAAGCUGCCGCAGCUUCAUUGACAGCAACAGAAAACUUAGAUACAAUUGAUGGUACACAAAAUUAUAUGGAGAAAAAAGCAAAGAAUGAAGAUAGAAGCGAAACGCCGGCUAUAGUUCAUAUGUCAACAGCAUCGGCGAAUUCAUCGAACAAUCUUAAAGAUCAAUUGAAAGUUUUACGUAUCACUAAUGAUAUGGAAUUGAAUGCUAGUAAUUUAGCAGAAUCAAAUAGAUGUGAAGCAAGUGGUCACCCAGAACAAAUUCAUAAAAAACCGAGUAAUAGCUAUAUUCAAUCUGUUGGCGCCGCUUCAAGUAGACUAAACCCAUUUGAACAGUCGUCCAAUACCAAUAUGGUUGCUGCAACCACUAACACAACCAUUAAUACAACUCAUCUAAAUAAUCUUGCAAAUACUUCGCAGCACCAGAACCAGCAACAACAGCACAAUCAAUCGUCCACAUCUCUGCAAAACUGUUAUGUUGCCAAAUGGGCCUGUAAUACGUGUACUUAUGAAAACUGGCCAAAAAGUCUUAAAUGUUCCAUGUGCGGAGAACCCCGUGAUGGAAAUGCAACUUGUAUAGCUUCUUUGGGCGACAACAACGCCGUUACUGCUACAUCAAACUCGGGCAGUAAUAAAUUCCUUAAUAUAAAGGAUGAAAAUCAUGACAUGACUGUGUCAACGAAUAAUUCAUUCAACAAGAAACACAUUUACCAACUAGGUUCUUCUGAGACUAUAAACAACUGUGAUACGGUACAAGAGCGUCAAGAACGGCGUCAACGACAAAUAAGACGACAGGUUGACUGGCAGUGGUUAAAUGCUUGUCUUGGUGUUGUGGAAAAUAACUAUAGCGCUGUAGAGGCGUAUUUGUCUUGCGGCGGUAAUCCUGCUCGUGCUUUAACGGCGACUGAAAUCGCAAUCUUAAAUCGUAACUCAGCGUUUGAUGUCGGUCAUACGCUUAUACAUCUAGCAAUACGUUUUCAUCGUGAAGAAAUGUUACCCAUGUUACUUGCACAGAUCUCCGGCUCUGGGCCUGGCAUAAAGCGAGUACCUUCCUAUGUUGCACCAGAUUUAGCUGCAGAUAUACGAAGGCAUUUUGCUAAUACGUUGCGUAUGCGUAAGACUUCCUUCAAUUGUUUGUAUGUGCAAGAACAUGCUACAUUUGCUUUACCAGCUGAAAUAGAAGAGUUGCCAAUUCAGAUACAAGAACAACUGUAUGACGAACUGUUAGAUCGUGAUGCACAAAAGCAACUGGAAAAUCCACCACCUGCACUGAAUUGGUCUUUGGAAAUCACAGCUCGUUUGGGUUCGCGCUUAUUGGUGUUGUGGAAUCGUAGCGCUGGCGAUUGUCUGCUAGACUCGGCAAUGCAAGCCACUUGGGGUGUAUUUGAUCGUGAUAAUACACUGCGUCGAGCCUUAGCAGACACUUUACAUCAAUGUGGUCCCAUUUUUUAUCCACGUUGGAAAGAGUACGAAAAAUGGCAGGCUUCAAUGUUGCACUUUACACUUGAAGAUGCCCAAUGGCAGGACGAUUGGAGUAACUUGCUAACGUUAGCCAGUCAACCGGGCUCGUCGCUGGAACAGUUGCAUAUAUUUGCUUUAGCUCAUAUACUGCGUCGACCAAUAAUCGUUUACGGUGUAAAAUAUGUAAAAAGUUUUCGUGGUGAAGAUAUUGGCUACGCGAGGUUUGAAGGUCUGUACUUGCCUUUAUUUUGGGACCAAAAUUUCUGCAUAAAAUCACCUAUUGCGCUCGGUUAUACACGUGGUCACUUCAGUGCUUUAGUGCCCAUGGAACCAUUUGCACGUAUCGAUCCACGUCGUGAAGAGCCAGAGGAUGUGCGAUAUCUGCCGUUGAUGGAUUGUGAAUCAAAACUUUUGCCUAUACACUUCUUAACUCAGGCUGAGAUGGGUCGCGAAGAGGCUAUAAUGAGACAAUGGCUUGAUGUAUGCGUUACAGAUGGUGGCUUAUUGGUUGCACAGCAAAAACUGCGAAAACGACCGCUAUUGGUCGCACAAAUGUUGGAGGAAUGGCUGAAUCACUAUCGAAGAAUCGCUCAAGUCAUAACGGCGCCUUUUGUUGGAAGGCCGCAACAAACCGGCUACUCUAGCGAGGGUGAUUCCGAUGAAGAAUAGGCACGAGCACAAACUGGUUGCAGUUCUUCGAAUUGGGGGCAGCUUCCUCGACGGUAACAUUGAGCCACAUGUAAUGGACAUGGAAUAAAGUGUUAAAGGACUAAAAAUAUACAAUGGAGGAAAACGAAACAUAAGGACAUUAAAGAACUUUAUGUUUAAAAAGAGUACCACACCCAAUGGCAGGUGUGUAAUAAGAAAUAAAUAAAGUUUAAAAUUGUAUGUAAUAAAAACAAUAGUCAAAAGACAAAGCGGAUAUGGGUUUUAAAAAACAACAAUAACUAUAGCGUCUCACUAAAAUAUGUGCUACUUAAAAUAUUGUCUAAAGAAAAUGUCAACGAUUCACUGACAUUGAACUGCAAAUAUACAUACAUACAUGGAUACGUUGAGUCUCAAGUAAAUCAAAUAAAAAGGAAAUAAAUUCAAAUUAAAAUAAAUUUAAU